rnacentral:rRNA from 1 species
AGCAGCCGCGGUAAUUCCAGCUCCAAUAGCGUAUAUUAAAGUUGUUGCCGUUAAAAAGCUCGUAGUUGAACCUUGGGCCUGGCUGACCUGUCCUCCUAAUCGAGCGCACGGGUUCGGUCGGGCCUUUCCUUCUGGGGAUCCCGAUGCCCUUCACUGGGCGUCGUGGGGAACCAGGACUUUUACCUUGAAAAAAUUAGAGUGUUCAAAGCAGGCCUUUGCUCGAAUACAUUAGCAUGGAAUAAUAGAAUAGGACAGAGGUUCUAUUUUGUUGGUUUCUAGGACCGCUGUAAUGAUUAAUAGGGAUAGUCGGGGGCGUCCGUAUUCAAUUGUCAGAGGUGAAAUUCUUGGAUUUAUUGAAGACGAACUACUGCGAAAGCAUUCGCCAAGGAUGUUUUCAUUAAUCAGUGAACGAAAGUUAGGGGAUCGAAGACGAUCAGAUACCGUCGUAGUCUUAACCAUAAACUACGCCGACUAGGGAUCGGACGGUGGUUUUUUAUACCNCG